UCCAGAGGUCCCGAGCGUUGUUCGGAUUCAUUGGGCGUAAAGCGUGCGUAGGUGGUUUGUUACGUCUGAUGUGAAAGCCCUGGGCUCAACCUGGGAACGGCAUUGGAAAAUGGCUUACUAGAGUGCGGUAGAGGGGUGUGGAAUUCCCGGUGUAGCAGUGAAAUGCGUAGAUAUCGGGAGGAACAUCUGUGGCGAAGGCGACACCCUGGACCAGCACUGACACUGAGGCACGAAAGCGUGGGGAGCAAACAGG
rnacentral:rRNA from 1 species